rnacentral:misc_RNA from 1 species
UUAUAUAUUUCUGAGGAUUUAAUCUAAAAUCGUAAAGAGAAUCUAUAUAGCCGACCCUGAAUAAAUUUUUGGGAUGAAAGCUUAGUUUAGUUGAGUUGAGUAUUAACAGAAAAAACAUUUUUUUUUUUAUUUCUUUACUAAUUUUGUCAUAUAAUGGUAUCAAUGAUCUCUCUCCCUCCCCUCUCUCUUUCGCUUUCUGAAGGAAAUAUGCCUUUUAUACUUUGCAUAGUUGGUGAAAUAUACUGAACAAAAAUGCACUUUGCAUAUUUGGGUGAUAAUGCAGAGGUCAGCGAAAUGUCCAGUCGGUUAACAUCAGAAUCUCGCAUAUAUGCUGACAAGGCAAGAGAUUUGAAUAGGCAGGUUGGUUACGCUGAUCUGGUAGUUAUAGUAAAUGUGUAAUCCAACUGGCACUUCUGAAACUUGCUUUGUGUUUAUUGGCCAUGAUGCUAUGACAUGUGAAUGUCUUAGGGCUUGCAUGAGUGCUUCUCUGAAGUUGAAUCUUGUUUCAUAUCCAAAUGGAAAGAAAGAAAGGUUGUGCACACUUUCUAUGAUGCCAUUUUUAUGUAUGUAAAAAUGUUUUAAGAAAAUGAAUGGAAUUCAAUAUUUCUUUUUGCUACCUUAUUGGAACUAGCGUGAAAAAAAUGCAUUCUUUAUCCAAUGGUGAAUGAUAGGUCUGUGACUGGAAAGGAUCCUAGGCUAUUGCGUUAAUGUGGAUUGUGUGCUAAAAAUUUUAGUUAGAUGUUGUGGCUAUUGCAAUGGGAUGGAUUGUGGUGUUCAUUCUUUGUUAAGUCAUGCUUUGCAUUCAGUUAAAAAAAAAGUCAUGCUUUGUGUCUUGCAGGAGGAGAUAAACUCUCUGGUUGGAAUUUACUAUUCGCUGUCAUUGCUUGCAAAUAUAAUUGCAUGAAGUAGACACUGUUGAAAUUUAUUUAUCACAUUCUUUACACCCUUUGACUGCAGGCCUUAAUUAGGAAGUGGGCUCCUGUUGCCAUCGUGUUAGGAGUUGUUUUCCUCCUUUUCUGGAUUAAAACGAAAAUCUGGUGAUCCUUUGCCUUCUUUGGCUUCUGAGAAUUGUUGCAUCAUUUUCCUGGGUUUCUCUAUAUUGCUGUCAGUUACUUGUGUUCAUGGUGAAUCAUCUGAACUUGGGGGACUUCUGAAUGGGAACUAGAUGCAUGUGAAGACUUAAAUCAUGUUUCAAGCUGGACUGUAGUUUUUAUUCAUGGGACACUCUGGUUAAAAGGAUUUGUUCUUUAAGGAGCUCCCAACGACCAUUUGGAGAUAUGAAAGAGAGAGACCCUUUGAUUUACAAGUUAAGGAGCAAAAAUACAUUGAAUACGAGAAAAUUUCUAUAUUCUCAAUGCUUUAUAGAGGCUAUAUAUUGAUCUACAUGAUUAUGGCAUGGCCAUCAGUAUGUGAUCUGCAAUUACACACUUUCUACAAAUUUUAAAUUACCUUAUGAUUUAUGUGUUCCUUGUGUCUUUUAUUUAUUAUUUGUUGGUAGUACUCUAUCAGCAAAUAAUUUUCCUUUUAAGUUUUUGGGUGCUGUAAUGCGUUUGACAUGCAUUAAUUUUUAUCAUGAGCUCUGCAGCCAUGAAAUGUACCAUGUUUCUCAUAGCAGAAAAGGGCAGCUCUGUGUGCUGCUGAACCUGAAAAGAUCGUCACUGAAUAGCCUAGUAAUAUAUUGUUUAUGAGAGUUAUAUCAUAUUGAUGAUGUUUUUAAAACAGAUUCCAGGCAUAGCAUUUUUCUGAUCAAGGCAAGGUGGGUGAUAAACAGUCUGAUCUUGAGUUUGUAUGAAAAGUAAAUCCAUUUAGAUUUGUGGCAAGAGACUUGAUGAUACUUUUAGUGGUUACAAUGUGUUUGCCUGUUUAUGUGAAUUGAU